AGUGUUUCUUCUAUUUUCUUUUUGCAAUCUACUCGGCGUUUCAUUCCAGAUGAGGGAAGAGGGGAACGAGGCCGAGGCAGUUCCGCUUCAGAGAGGAGCUCAAGGCGGUCGGCGAGCUCACCGUCGCCACCGCCGUGUGUGUCUAGCCGGCGAAAUAUCUUCAGAACAAUGGGAAAAAAAAUCCAGAAGAAGGGUGACACAGAUUUCGGUAGCGAUGAGGAUGGUUGUGACUCAAGAGCAAGAACAAUUGGCCUCCAAAAAAUUGUCCUCGAGGCCGUGAGUUCAAUUAAGGGGUUUCGUCUGAGAGUUGCUGGUCAGCUCACAAAAGCCCAGCACUAAAUAUGUCAGAAACAUAACGAGCCAACAGAAAGACACAUACCAUGUCCAUGGGCCAGACUGUGGCGACAAAAAGACAGAAUGGGCAAGACAGAAGAUAGAAGGGACAUAAACAUACGAGGAGGACCUGAUGAGAUCAACGGCUGAGGUCGUCGACUGAGACUUAAGCUUUUCUCAGUCAACUGUGACCCAGGCAGACCCUUACUUUUUCUAUGCCUUUUGAACAAGUUUUAGCAUAUGGCCCCACAGAAACUAGCUAAAAGUAUCAGGUCCAUUUAUCAGUUCCCCUGCCACGGCAGUAUUUCCUCUACAGAUAUAUGUGCAACUUUAUGUAUUUAUAAUAAUCUCAGGUUCGUGCAUGUAUAUUUACAGAAUUACUAUUCUUCUAUUUUUUUAAA